CGGAACGUACCUUUGAGUGGGGGAUAACUAGUCGAAAGAUUAGCUAAUACCGCAUACGAUCUACGGAUGAAAGCGGGGGAUCGCAAGACCUCGUGCUCAUAGAGCGGCCGAUAUCUGAUUAGCUAGUUGGUGAGGUAAAGGCUCACCAAGGCUUCGAUCAGUAGCUGGUCUGAGAGGACGACCAGCCACACUGGGACUGAGACACGGCCCAGACUCCUACGGGAGGCAGCAGUGGGGAAUUUUGGACAAUGGGGGCAACCCUGAUCCAGCAAUGCCGCGUGAGUGAAGAAGGCCUUCGGGUUGUAAAGCUCUUUUGUCAGGGAAGAAACGGGAUUUUCUAAUACAGAGUCCUAAUGACGGUACCUGAAGAAUAAGCACCGGCUAACUACGUGCCAGCAGCCGCGGUAAUACGUAGGGUGCAAGCGUUAAUCGGAAUUACUGGGCGUAAAGCGUGCGCAGGCGGUUAUGUAAGACAGGUGUGAAAUCCCCGGGCUUAACCUGGGAAUGGCAUUUGUGACUGCAUAGCUAGAGUGUGUCAGAGGGGGGUAGAAUUCCACGUGUAGCAGUGAAAUGCGUAGAGAUGUGGAGGAAUACCGAUGGCGAAGGCAGCCCCCUGGGAUAACACUGACGCUCAUGC
rnacentral:rRNA from 1 species